UACAGAGGUCUCAACCGUUGUUCGGAUUCAUUGGGCGUAAAGGGUGCGUAGGCGGUCGCGCAAGUCGGAUGUGAAAUCUUAGGGCUCAACCCUGAAACUGCAUUCGAUACUGCGUGGCUCGAGUACUGGAGAGGAGACUGGAAUUUACGGUGUAGCAGUGAAAUGCGUAGAUAUCGUAAGGAAGACCAGUGGCGAAGGCGAGUCUCUGGACAGUUACUGACGCUGAGACGCGAAAGCGUGGGGAGCAAACAGG
rnacentral:rRNA from 1 species